AAGCGUUAUCCGGAUUUACUGGGCGUAAAGGGUGAGUAGGCGGUUGCAUAUGUCAGAUGUAAAAGGCACAGGCUCAACUUGUGUUAGCAUUUGAAACUGUGCGACUUGAGUGCAGGAGAGGUAAGUGGAAUUCCUAGUGUAGCGGUGAAAUGCGUAGAUAUUAGGAGGAACACCAGUGGCGAAGGCGACUUACUGGACUGUAACUGACACUGAGGCACGAAAGCGUGGGGAGC
rnacentral:rRNA from 1 species